rnacentral:rRNA from 1 species
UACUGAGGUCCCAAGCGUUGUUCGGAUUCACUGGGCGUAAAGGGUGCGUAGGCGGUCGGGUAAGUCUGACGUAAAAUCUUCAAGCUCAACUUGGAAACUGCGUCGGAUACUAUUCGGCUAGAGGAAUGGAGGGGAGACUGGAAUACUUGGUGUAGCAGUGAAAUGCGUAGAUAUCAAGUGGAACACCAGUGGCGAAGGCGAGUCUCUGGACAUUUCCUGACGCUGAGGCACGAAAGCCAGGGGAGCAAACGGG